rnacentral:tRNA from 1 species
UUUUUGAUGGUCCAGUGGUUAGGACUCAGUGCUUUCACAGCUGGGGCCCAGGUUCGAUCCCUGGUGGGGGAA